rnacentral:rRNA from 1 species
AGUGAACGCUGGCGGUAGGCCUAACACAUGCAAGUCGAACGGCAGCACAGUAAGAGCUUGCUCUUACGGGUGGCGAGUGGCGGACGGGUGAGGAAUACAUCGGAAUCUACUUUUUCGUGGGGGAUAACGUAGGGAAACUUACGCUAAUACCGCAUACGACCUACGGGUGAAAGCAGGGGAUCUUCGGACCUUGCGCGAUUGAAUGAGCCGAUGUCGGAUUAGCUAGUUGGCGGGGUAAAGGCCCACCAAGGCGACGAGCCGUAGCCGGUCUGAGAGGAUGAUCGGCCGAACGGGAACGGAGCCACGGUCCAGACUCCUACGGGAGGCAGAAGUGGGGAAGCGGGCGCAAUGGGCGAAAGCUGGACGGAGCAACGGCGCGUGAGUGAAGAAGGUCUUCGGAUCGGAAAACUGUGUUAGUAGGGAAGAACAAAUGUGUAAGUAAAUAUGCACGUCUGGACGGGGCCUAAUCAGAAAGACACGGCUAAAUACGUG